rnacentral:rRNA from 1 species
CGUUAGGAAACGGGUGGUAAUGCUGGAUGCUCCAACUUGACGCAUGUCUUGUUGGGAAAGUGUUUAGUGGCAUGGGAUGGGGUCGCGUCCUAUCAGCUUGUAGGCGGGGUAAUGGCCCACCUAGGCUUCGACGGGUAGCCGGCCUGAGAGGGCGGACGGCCACAUUGGGACUGAGAUACGGCCCAGACUCCUACGGGAGGCAGCAGUC